AUUGAACGCUGGCGGCAGGCUUAACACAUGCAAGUCGAGCGGAGAUGAGGUGCUUGCACCUUAUCUUAGCGGCGGACGGGUGAGUAAUGCUUAGGAAUCUGCCUAUUAGUGGGGGACAACAUUCCGAAAGGAAUGCUAAUACCGCAUACGUCCUACGGGAGAAAGCAGGGGAUCUUCAGACCUUGCGCUAAUAGAUGAGCCUAAGUCGGAUUAGCUAGUUGGUGGGGUAAAGGCCUACCAAGGCGACGAUCUGUAGCGGGUCUGAGAGGAUGAUCCGCCACACUGGGACUGAGACACGGCCCAGACUCCUACGGGAGGCAGCAGUGGGGAAUAUUGGACAAUGGGGGGAACCCUGAUCCAGCCAUGCCGCGUGUGUGAAGAAGGCCUUAUGGUUGUAAAGCACUUUAAGCGAGGAGGAGGCUACUGAGACUAAUACUCUUGGAUAGUGGACGUUACUCGCAGAAUAAGCACCGGCUAACUCUGUGCCAGCAGCCGCGGUAA
rnacentral:rRNA from 1 species